AUACGAUUGGCUGCAGCAUAAGUAAGGCAAAAUCACAAGUGGACCAUCACACACUUGUCUAAGUCAAUGUACAUAGAUUUGUUUGGAAUCGGGUUGGAACCCACUUCAACUUUUCGACUCGUGAUAGCUAGGCUUAGACAAUCAGAACUGCCAGUGGUUGAUAAGGCUGGGUCAAGGAGUGUAGGCUGGUAGCUUGUUUGCACUGGACGCACGUAGACCAAGAAGGAAGGAGGACGUCAGGAGAGGAUCACUGCAAAGACUUAGACUAGAGCAUCAUGGGAUCUGGAGACGGUAAGGGAGCAGGCGCGGGGAUACUCUGGGCGAUCCUCUGGUUCCUCAUCUUAAUCUUCCUCGGCUGGCCAAUCGGAUUCUUCAUCGCUUGGCUGUACGUUCUCCUCCUGCCGUUCGCUGCGUGUAUCAAACCGCUCAAGGACGUCUGUGAUAGCAUUCUCAAGAUUGUACAGCUUCCUUACACUUGCGCUGAGAACAUGGUAAACAUGAAACCAAUCUGCUAGGCGGUGGAUGUGCGGGACUUGAAACACACGUGGAGGAUUCUUCCAAAAGGUGGCAACACUGAUAACCUAUUCCGUGUUGUCGGUUUCCAUCCUUACACAUUCGCAAAGAGUAUGGCGAAGACGAAAUUAAUUUGAUCAGCCGUCGUUUCGCAAGUAUGAAGAAAUGAAUUCUCCCAAAGAUGGCAGCACUCAUACCAACUUCUGUGUUGUCGAUUUCCAAUUGACUUAAAGGGGAAAACAAGUAUAAUGAAUCAACGAUGAUGGACCAUCAGCUGGCACACAGCUACCACUGCAAGGAGAUAGCGGACUGGCUGUAGAAGCUAAAUGAUAUAGCGUACAGGCCCCCUAUAUAAGCGUUUAUUUCUGAACAUUCUGAAAGGUAGUCGCCCCCUCACGGCCAGUCCCCUGUUCUCCCUUUAACUUGUCAUGAGUAUAUGAAAUCUACAACCAUCAGCUCGUUGGACAAAGUUUCAUGACAGUUGUUUCAUGAUCAAGUUUGCCCAGCAUAAACUAUCACAUGAUUUUCCUAUCAUAUCAUGAUUUAAGCGAGGAUACUGUUUGCAUGACCUCAUGACAUCUCAAGAUCAUCACCUGACACUGAUCCCAUAACAGGAGGUUUUAACCUUUCAAGAGUGACCUAGUCGUUUGUACAGAUAUAUUCAACUACAGAACUACAGAUUUUGGCCGAUUUUCAGUUGGACUGAGAACAAAACACGAACUGUAUGUGCGUACGGGAUAUACUAUGUUUUUUUAUUUAUCCAUUUCAUGCUGUCAAUAUUAUUUAAAUGUAUAACAUGUAUUUUGCUCAAGAAACUUGAGUAUAUGCCUUUGGAAGUAAUGUUCCCAUACUUCGAUAUGACUUACUUUCGGCAGGAACUGGUAUUUGGUGCUCAGAAACUUGUAAAUAAGUUUUCUACAUUUUAUAGCUCUUUAUAGAUCUGUGAUUUCUGAUGUAAAUAAUGUUAAGAUCACAAUGUAAAGAUUUAUAUUAAUCGAUUCGGGAGUUUGAAAUCACUGACAGUCAAAGUUCACAGAUCUUUUCAAAUAAUGUGUAAGGCAAUCAGAAAAAUUUCUUAUUGUCAUCAGCACGGGUAUGUCUAUGAUCAUACAUGUAGCAUUCAAUUAGCAGGGCUCAUCCUGACAAUAUAUCGGGCCAUUUCACUCGAUACUACUUACUCCCUCGGAAACAUGCGUAAGGAGAAGUCGUGCUGUGGGCCCUGUUUGCAAGAGGAUGGGCACUUAUUGACACAAUGGGUAAUAUGAAUAAUGACUAGUAAUGCUUUUACUUCAGUUUCGUACACAAAGGCCAAGUGUAAAUGUGCAUGUACAUGAUGUUUUCAGUAAAAGCAUUGACUGGCCUUAAUUCAUAUCAUCCAAUGUUCUGUACCUCUACUGGUAUCAUGAGUAUGUAGAUAAUAUAGCUUUGCAAAUAAAACAAAUAGAUUUAUAGAUAAA